rnacentral:rRNA from 1 species
AGGAUGAACGCUGGCGGUCUGCUUAACACAUGCAAGUCGAACGGAGUAGCAAUACUUAGUGGCGGACGGGUGAGUAACGCGUGAGAAUCUACCUUCAGGACGGAGACAACAGUUGGAAACGACUGCUAACCCCCGAUGUACUGAAAAGGCAAAUAUUUAUAGCCUGAAGAAGAGCUCGCGUCCGAUUAGCUAGUUGGAGAGGUAAAAGCUCACCAAGGCGACGAUCGGUAGCUGGUCUGAGAGGACGAUCAGCCACACUGGGACUGAGACACGGCCCAGACUCCUACGGGAGGCAGCAGUGGGGAAUUUUCCGCAAUGGGCGAAAGCCUGACGGAGCAAGACCGCGUGGGGGAAGAAGGCUCGUUGGGUUGUAAACCCCUUUUCUCUGGGAAGAACACAAUGACGGUACCAGAGGAAUCAGCAUCGGCUAACUCCGCGCCAGCAGCCGC